GAUAAACGCUGGCGGCGUGCAUGAGACAUGCAAGUCGAACGAGCGAGCUUGCUCGUUAGUGGCGAACGGCUGAGUAACGCGUAGGUGACCUGCCCCGAAGUGGGGGAUAACUGCCCGAAAGGGUGGCUAAUACCGCAUGUGGCGACGCUUUCAUUGGCGUCAUCAAAGCCGCGAGGCGCUUCGGGAGGGGCCUGCGUCCGAUUAGCUCGUUGGUGGGGUAAUGGCUCACCAAGGCGACGAUCGGUAGGUGGUCUGAGAGGACGAUCACCCAGACUGGGACUGAGACACGGCCCAGACUCCUACGGGAGGCAGCAGUCGGGAAUUUUGCUCAAUGGGGGAAACCCUGUAGCAGCAACGCCGCGUGCGGGAUGAAGGCCUUCGGGUUGUAAACCGCUUUUACCAGGGACGAUAAUGACGGUACCUGAUGAAUAAGUCACGGCUAACUACGUGCCAGCCGCCGCGGUAAGAC
rnacentral:rRNA from 1 species